AGAUGGGUCCCCCCCCAAGCACGUGAUCUGCAAGGUGAGGCACACCACCGCACUGCAGGUGGGCUCCAUCCAGGCGGGGAGCGCGGCCGAGUGCGGGCAGUGCUUCAGCCUCUCCUGGAUGCCCUCCCGGCCCCACCAGCACCUGGCGGCGGGGUUUUAUGAUGGCACGGUGGCCGUCUGGAACCUAUUGACCGCGUCCCCGCUGCAGCGCGUGUCCCACCCCGACGGCUCUCUCCAGCUGUACCCUUUCCAGUGCUUCCUGGCCCACGACCACGCCGUGCGGAGCAUCGAGUGGUGCAAAGCCAACAGCAACUUCCUGGUCACGGUAGGGAACGACCGAAAGAUCAAAUUCUGGGACCUGCGACGCCUCUACGAACCCAUCAACAGCAUCAAGCGUUUCCUCAGCACUGAGGUGGCUUGGCUGCUGCCUUACAACGGUGUCACCGUGGCCCAGGACAACUGCUAUGCCUCUUACGGUCUCUGUGGGAUCCACUACAUCGAUGCUGGGUACCUGGGCUACAAGGCGUACUUUGUGGCUCCUCGCAAAGGGACCGUGUGGAGCAUCUCGGGCUCGGACUGGCUGAACACGGUGGCUGCUGGGGACAUCACAGGCGAGCUGGUGGCUGCCGUGCUGCCCGACCUGGCUGUUAACCCGCUCAAUGUCAAGCGCUCCUCGGACCGCAGAUUUCCGGUGUACAAAGCUGACCUGCUGCCCUGCAGCCCUGCAGUGCCAGGGAGCGGUGAGCCGGUGCUGCCCAGGACCCGGCACUACAGUGAGAUGGUGGCCACAGCCUACGUGCGGUUCCGGGACACCGAUCUGCGCAGCUUCAAGAACUUCCCCAGCCGUGAGCCCAUGCGCCGCAUGCACAAACAGGAGGGGAAGGCAGAGCUGAGCCUUGACCGCCUGCAGCUGGAAGCCCUGCACAAGGUGCGCUUCAGCCCCAACCUGGAGGCGUGUGGCUGGCUGGUGUCGGGGGGACAGGCGGGCAUCGUGCGCCUGCAUUGCCUGGCGGGGCUGGCAGCUGCUGUGGACCCGCAGCUGCUGCCGCAGAGCCGCGCCCGCUACAGCUCCCACCCCGGCCCUCCUGUGAGCCCCCCCUCCGAGUAACCCUGGCCCCUCGCUGUGGCUGUGGGGGCUGCGUGCCCCCCCCCUUGGUGCUCCUUCCCCGGGGACCCGGUACUCCCGCUGUCCCCUCGGGGCCCGGAGGGCUCUGUGCUGUGCUCUGCGCUUUGUGCUGGUGCGGGGCGGGCGGUGGGACGGCUGCUGUGUCCCUGCCCUGGGCUGAGGCCGUGCGUGGGGCUGUGCUUGUGCUCCCCACCCCCCCGGUGCCGGGGGCUCUGGAAUCGCUCACAUUGAGCCGUGGUGGCAGCAGUGCAGUAAAGUGGUGCGUUUU
rnacentral:lncRNA from 7 species